rnacentral:rRNA from 3 species
UUUAUCGGAGAGUUUGAUCCUGGCUCAGGACGAACGCUGGCGGCGUGCCUAAUACAUGCAAGUCGAGCGGACAGAUGGGAGCUUGCUCCCUGAUGUUAGCGGCGGACGGGUGAGUAACACGUGGGUAACCUGCCUGUAAGACUGGGAUAACUCCGGGAAACCGGGGCUAAUACCGGAUGGUUGUUUGAACCGCAUGGUUCAAACAUAAAAGGUGGCUUCGGCUACCACUUACAGAUGGACCCGCGGCGCAUUAGCUAGUUGGUGAGGUAACGGCUCACCAAGGC